GCUGACCCAACCAGGCUCAACAACACUCUAACAUCCCACUCCAAUCAGCCGAACUAGCAGCCUAAAUAUCCAAGACCCAACCCGUUCUUUUUCUUCUUCAACUUCAGAACACUCGCAACAACAGUACAACAAUAAUACGCGACAACAACAACCAAACAAAAUUACUAACCUGCGAAUCCCAUAGCGUCCAACCGCUAUCAACAUCACAACAAUUUCAGCAGAAACGACAAAUAGCUGAGCAACAGUAACCCAACAAUGUCAACAACUCCAAAAAACCCCGAUGACCCGAUCCUAUUCCAGUCAGCAAACUCGUACAAACAACUUCAACAAUAACGUACGAAAUCAAAUCCAUCUCAGCAUCCGUACGAUUUCAUAUAGCUCAUCUCUUAUCCUAUUUCAAAAUUCAAAAAUUUCUAUUGAGAAUUCCAAAAUUACCCCCAAUUUUUUGCUCCCAUAUCGGUGGGAGAUCAAAAAAUUGCCCCAUUUUGUUUGCUAUAAAUAGCUCAUUCUUGAGUUGAAAUGGUAAGCCUUGAGGGUGGGAAAAAAAUCUUGAGCAAAAGUAGUCCAUUCUGCUAGUAAAAUUUUUUUUCUUGAAAUUCGAUAUCUAAUCGAAGUUCUCGAGUUGAUGGCGACGUGUUUAGGUGGUGGCGGACUUCGAUAAAGAUGGAGGUCUCAUUUUGCUGCCCAAGAAAUGUCCUACAUGGACUCUUAUCCUUUUGCAUACUCCUCAUGGGCCAAUGAGGCCCAUCUUUCGAGUCAAGAGCGAAAGAAAUUCCAAAGUCAAAUUACAUCGCGCAUGGAUACAAAAAGCUGGGAGAAGAAGAAAUAGGUCGAAACCUAUUGACAAAGUUGCUAAGAGACUCUAAAGUAUCAAUUUUAUUCAUUUUGUUUUCCAGAUUUCAUUUAUUUAUUUAUUUAGUUACUUAUCUCUUUGUUCAUUUGGGCCUCAAAGCCAAAGUUGUAAACUAAUAUAAGUGAAGCAAAUUUUGGGCCAAAUGGUCCAAAAAUAUA